UUUAAAUGUAAAGUUGAGAUUAAAUGAUUAAUAGUUAUGUUCUUUAAAGUUAAAUAAUUUGGCAGUAUUUUAAUCUAUUCAGAGGAACCUGUUCUGUAAUUGAUAUUCCACGAUUUUAGUUACUUUAGUUAGAAAUUUACAUAUCGUUGUUAUUAACAUUUUUUUAGAAAUUUAAUGUUAAAAAUUUUUUAUUAAGAAAAUAAAUCAAAUCAAGGUGUAGUUUAUAUUAAAGAAGAAAUGGGUUACAAUAAAAAAAUUUUUGAAUUUAAAGUUUUAGAUUUUAAUAAAAUUGGAUUUGAAAGUAAUUAAUUUUAGAUUUUAUUAAUGAUUAAGCUCUAAAAUAUGU
rnacentral:rRNA from 1 species